UAAUAAUGGGUAAAGUUACUUCGUAUAACCCCACUUAUAGGGUGUGGGGGUCUCUACCAGAAUCCGUAAAAUUCUGAUUACGAAGAGUUGAGUGAUUGAU
rfam:Photobacterium profundum SS9 chromosome 2; segment 5/7